AGGAAUUACUAUUCUACCGCCGUUUCUUUCCUUUUUUCUUUUUUUUUUUUUUAAUUCCCAAAGAGUUCUUCCAAUCGUCAGAUAUUUGUACAUGUGCUGCCCUGGCGGGCACUAUACCCUCAUUUUAAGACGAGGAAACAGAUUCAGACGCGAGAAGAGACCAGCCAAGGUCACUGGGGCUCAAACCGAAGUCCAGCUGGCUCCUCCGCUGCCCCGAGGACGGGCCCGGAGGUCUCCCUGGAGCGGUAGGCGGCCGGUCCCUGGCCCUCCAGCACUCCCCAUCCUCGGCCAUACACCGGGGCAGGUGACACACCACCGCCACCUGGCGGCCAAGUGGGGAAUUCUGACGCGAACACGAGAUCUUUGGGGGGAGCAGAGGAGCCAGUUUGGAUUUCAGAGUAGAUGUUACCAGGCCUCUGGCUUCCAGCCUAAGCUUCCUUGAGAUCCAGGUGCUCAUAGGGUGUCCAGACCCAGAACCACCUGCAUGGGGGACGCGGCUUUCAGUCUGGUAGGGGCGGUGGAGUGUUACAUACAAUAGUUCAGUUCCGUUCCAAACCGGGACUUUGGCAUAAAACCGACUGGGUUCCCAUGCUCUCAUAGUAUGGCUUUGAACAGGUCAUUUCCCUUUCCUCAGACUUGGUUUCACCAUCUGUAAAAGGGGGUAAUAAUAAGACCUACUUCCUAACGUUAUCAUGCAGAUGAACCAGCUGACAUGCAGAGGCCUGGCACUUAGUGGAUGCUCGAUAAAUGUCACUGUCAUCACUGUUUGCAUCAUUAUUAUCAACAUCAUUAUUACCUGCUCCUCCCUACCUGCCCCCCCAUGCAACAGUACAGCUCCACCUGGAAGCAGCCCCCCAACUUCCCCCUCCAA
rnacentral:lncRNA from 1 species